rnacentral:lncRNA from 1 species
UCGCACAAUGUGCACUCCUGGGGAGUUGGUGAUUCUAGCGGAGCACCUAUGUGACUGUGUACUGUUACCAUGGAGACCAACUUGGAGAUGUAAACAAAGCGGAAAGUGGCAAGAACACGAGGAAUGUUGCACAUUGCGCAUGAAUCGGUCAGCAGUUGGGAAUGAACGGUCUGCGCCCCUCCGCCCCGUCGGCCUCGCGCCCCGCGUUUCCAGGAUAGGCUCCGGAUCACCGCGACCCCGCUCGAGACAAGCGGCUUCAGACAAUGCGCGUAAACACACCCAUUGGCUGGGCUGCUUGUCCCACAGAAGGUUGCAGCAAACCAAAGCCUAACCAGGCAACACAGGGUGCAAGGGGACACACCCAGGACAGGAUGCCAGUCCAUCACAAGGCACCCCAAGCGGGACUCGAACCCCAGACCCACUGGAGAGCAGGACCCGAGCCAACCCGCUGCACCAGCGCACCCCUCCCUGGGCACAGCUGCAAAGAAUUAACUUAUUACUGAAUGUGUCAUUAAAUCAGAUUUGUUCAAACAUCCAGGUCGCUGGGUUGACGGGCAGAUUUUUCUGGGAGGUUUUCUGGAAGUCGCGCUCACGUCGGUGAUACGGUUAAAAUCCCUGCGUUCGGUUCGGGAAACUUUGGCUCAUGUUCUAAUUCCGCGCUGUGUACUCUAGUCACUGAAACAUAUGUAAAUCAAAGCCAAGUGUAAUUCAUUAUGAUGAGAACAGUCAACUGGCACAGUGCCUGUUGUGCGAGGGGACAUGGGUUCGAUGCCCACUCAGGCUGUGUGGAGUUUGCAUGUUCUCCAGGUGCUCUGGUUUCCUCCCACAGUCCAAAGACAUGCUGUUUACCCAUAGUGUGUGAGUGACAGGGAGAGUGUGUGUGUUCCACUGAUGUAUGGAUGAGUGACCCAGUGUAAGGAGUGUAUCUAGCAGUGUAAAUCACCGCGGUGAAUAAGGUGUGUGGGCUGGUAACACCGCAUGGAGUUCAUUGGAAGUUGCUCUGGAGAAAAGUGUCUGUUAAAUAAAUAAGUGCAAAUUUUGGUCCGGUUGAUGUCA